rnacentral:lncRNA from 1 species
GCAGCUUUUAUUUUUUCACAAUAGAUACUGGAUUUUAACACACAUCAAAAAUACAGCUUCUAAGGCACCCAGAAAUCUGUUCAUUCACCCGUUAACAAAUUAUUUCUUGUCUAAACCACAGUAAAUAUAUGUACGGCUAUCAGAAAAUAUUUACAUCACUGUCAGAAAGGAGACCGGUAUCCCUUAAUGAUAUAAGUAAAUAUAUUAUACAAAUAUUAGAUAUUCUCUAAUAUGCCUGUAUAUUGCCAUGUAACAGAAAAAAAAAAUCCCCCCCAAAAUAAAAUAAAAAUUCAAGCAAACAAAUAUAAUUACAAAGCAUGUGUUCCUUUUCAACCCUCUGCUUGCCACAUGGUUUACCAGAAAAGAACAACACAAUGCAUGUCCUGAUUUUAUCCCUAGCAGAGUGGGUUAUGGAUUAAUAACUUGGGGACAUCCCUGGCAAAAAAAACAAACAUUUUGGCAUUUGUUUUUAACCCCUUACCUGCUAUCUGUUUUUUUGUUCACACUUAAAACCAAGGGUAGAAAAAAGCAAAGCCACCAAGAUGAUGCUGAGCUUCAACACCCAUAAUUCUCUUCUAACCACAGUAGUUGUACAAUAGCUGUUGCUAGAUGUAUGUCAUGUCCUCAUGACUUAAACCCUACACUGCAUUUGACUUAAUGUCUAGUCUGUACUACAGGAAUUUAUUCUCCCGAUUUUGCAUACUUUGGAAACAAAACAUAUUCAAGGUCUAAAUAGAAAAAUAUAUUGAAAAAUAAAAUCUACGAGGAGAUUGCAUAAUUUUAGAAAAGCAGCAACAUUGCUUACAGUCAAAAGACACCAAACCUCUACUACAUGAAAAAACACCCAUAAUAUGUUCAGUUAACUCAUCCCUAGUUCGUGAUAUAUUUAUAUGAAACGUCUUCAUAUAAUAUAUACGAGAAAAAUAUAUACUGGGAUUAUGAUCCACCAAUGUAUGAUAUUUUAUAUUAAGGAGAACCUGUCAAAAAAUGUGCAGCUAAAUAAAUAGGAAAUUAUACAAAUAACAUUGAAGAAUGGAAAAUUAAAAACUUACUAGAUGUAUUUUGAUCAAACAACAGGUUCACUUUAAAUGCAAACUCUUUAAUUCAAUGAAACAGAAUAUUUUGUUUUGAACUUUAGACAUUGUUUUGUGUCAAUAUAACCUUCACAACCCUUCUGAGCAAACAUAGGUAAACAACUUCUGAUCAGACAUGAAUCACCCGCUAGCCAAAGGCAGGAUAGGUUGGCCCCAGACGGAAGGUGUUUCCAAUGGACAAUUUAGGAUCAUAGGUAGAUAUCCCUUUAAUGAUCCAGAUGGACUGCACACACUCAGGUGUGAAUUGUCAGGAAUUCAAUGUCAAUUCUGCAUUUUUGAAAAAUAUAGCCAAAUUAAAAACAUAACUGACAUUAAGAUUUUUUUCCCGUUCGGCUCUAUUAGCCACAAAUAUGAUUUAACUUUAAAUUCUUAACAGUCCACACUUAUUGAAUAAGCUGGCUAAAUUCCAUGGACCAUGCUGGAGUGGUUAUGGUGCUUAAAGUGUCCCUUUUUAAAAAAAUCUUGCCAAUAUUGGCAGUUUCCAUAAAAAAAAAAAAAUUAAAGAAUUGAAUUCAGUAAAUUGGGAAUUGAGAAGUUAAUUGCAAAAUUAACAGUUCUAUACAAUUGCCAUUUUAGAGUAUAAAAACCAUACCAAUAAACAAUGGCAUGAAAGAUCACUCCUUCUAUCAAACAAUUACUGGUCUGUAAAAAGAUACCAUAAUGAGAACACAAUGAUGAAAUGUAAACAUGCAUAUAAUAUCGUCCUUUAGAAAAAGGAGUACUAAAACAAAACAAAUAAACAAACAACCCCUACAAAAACAAACUGCUAUAAAUACAUGUUUAAAAACUCUAAACUAACAGAAGCAGACACAUUAAAAUCAAUAUUAAAGAGAGCUUGUAAAAUUAGAGAAUAAGAAAAUAACGUAUCUUCUACAAAUGAGUGGACUGUACCGAGUAUCGAGCAUUCCAAAUGCCAAGCCAUUUCACAAGCAGGAUUCAUUAGACAGCUGGUAACAUAAAAACUAGUGAACGUUAAAAAUCUGUGAAAAUCUAAAGCAUUCAUGGGAUCCACAGGAUUACAUUAUAUACAAAACUCAAGAUAUGGAAAUAUCAUGAGAGCGCAUUCUUGAUACAUGUUAACAAGUAUUCAAAAACACAAAUCCAGUCUUUAAGAAAUAUUACUAUAGAAAAAUGCAGUUAAUCAAUUAUGAAAUGUCAAACUAUUUGGUGAUCUUAUCAGUCUUUGUCAAGUACAGUAGCACCUUUAAUGGCAGGAUGGCCAUACAGUCCCAAAAUAGCUGGAGAUGAACUUAGCCUUCAAAUAAUGAUCACCAUAAAACAAAGCACUGUAUCAAGAUUAGGAUCCCCAAAUAUCUGGUGUUCAACCCAUCCUUUUCCAAAUAAUGUGAUUAUCAUGCAAUGCUCAACCCAGCUUUUAUCUAGAAUAUCAAGGAUGCAAACAGUAAAGCUAUGCAGUUUAUAUCAAGUAUGGGAUGGAUUCCAAGACAUCUGGCAAUCUCAUUUUUACUGUACAGAGUACAUGUACUUUUCCUACGCUUGACUUUAUUUGACCUAGGGAGGAGCUUAAGUAAGCUCCAUUUCCGGUGUUAGAGAAAGUACUCACCCUUCUUCUUGACACAGGAAAUGGAGCAGACUUAAGAUUUAAGAGGAAAAAUACAUACGACAAGGCAGUCCCUACUUUGUCUUAUGUUUUAGAGAAAACUAGGUUAGAAAUAAAGAAAAGAAGAACAGAUUUGGAGAAGAUAAGAAAAAACAAGAGCAGAAAGGUAAGUUCGGCAUGACAGUGCUCUUUAAGAAAGCCUAUGGUUCAUGCAAGAGUGAUCCGGCAGAGAAUUAUGGAAAAUGUUUACCAACACCACCGAGAAGGUGAAGGUUGGACUACAUUGUCCUAAUGAGAUAAAAAUGGCUGAGCAACCACCAAUCCACAUGGAGAUGUAAUUUAAUUAAAAGCGAUUACAUACCCAGAUAUUGUAACUAAGGGAAGUGAGUGUCCGGUAGCUUAUGCAAAAAUGUAUUUUACAUUUGUAAUAAAAUGAACCAGCACAUUCGGUGUUCUCCAGCUUAGAAAAUAAAGCAAGGGCGAUCUGAACAGGAAAAUGAAAAAAUUUGAAUAUGGAACCAAAAUGUAUACUUGCCUUCCUACCUCCUCUAUCCGCUUACCUAAC